CUGUUUAGGGAGGAGAGCAACCUAGAAGAAAUUAUGUCUGGAAAACUAUGUCUCCUGUCAGAAGCCUGUGCAAACUGAAAUGUAAAUGGGCACUUGUAAGUAUGUAAGUAUACAUACUUUGGGACGUGUUAGACGGGUUGGUGGGAAGAGAGGAGCUAGUUGUGGGAUCAGGCAUUUUGGCCACUUGAUCAGGCCCGAGGUAACUCUCCUCCUGCGAGCCUCCUCGAGGCGCUGUAGAAGGCCCCUUAGGCAGCAACCUUCCAGUCCCCAGAAAUCCUAGAGCUAGCCCCUGCAAGCCCAGCCUCAGAAGUGAUGAAUUGAUCAGAUAGACGAGGCCGGGCUUGUCGAGCGAGUGAUUAUCCGAGAGCGAUUCUGAUCUGA